rnacentral:rRNA from 1 species
GACGAACGCUGGCGGCGUGCUUAACACAUGCCAGUCGAACGGAAAGGCCCUGCUUUUGUGGGGUGCUCGAGUGGCGAACGGGUGAGUAACACGUGAGUAACCUGCCCUUGACUUUGGGAUAACUUCAGGAAACUGGGGCUAAUACCGGAUAGGAGCUCCUGCUGCAUGGUGGGGGUUGGAAAGUUUCGGCGGUUGGGGAUGGACUCGCGGCUUAUCAGCUUGUUGGUGGGGUAGCGGCUUACCAAGGCUUUGACGGGUAGCCGGCCUGAGAGGGUGACCGGCCACAUUGGGACUGAGAUACGGCCCAGACUCCUACGGGAGGCAGCAGUGGGGAAUAUUGCACAAUGGGCGGAAGCCUGAUGCAGCAACGCCGCGUGCGGGAUGACGGCUUUCGGGUUGUAAACCGCUUUCGCCUGUGACGAAGCGUGAGUGACGGUAAUGGGUAAAGAAGCACCGGCUAACUACGUG